AGAAACAUCAGACUGAAGACAGAAACACACCAGCUCUAAGAAAUGGCUCAAACUCUAUAUUUCCCUCUUCUCCUCAUUGCUCUCUGCUCCAUAUCUGAAUGUGUUCAGCGUCAGUAUCACUUUAUAAAUGAGGAGAAGAACUGGACUGAAGCUCAGAGAUACUGCAGAGAGAAAUACACAGAUCUGGCCACUGUUGACAACAUGAACGACAUGAUCCAGCUGAUGAAGAGUGUGAAUAAUGUACGUCUCUGGAUUGGUCUUCAGAAGACGAGUGAUGAUAAUUGGCAUUGGUCUUCAGGUGAUCCUGUGCUCUUUCAAAAUGGGGUCCACAACCAACUGGCAUUAAUAAUUGUACUUAUAUAUCAAAUAAACAGUGGUAUGUUCAGUCAUGUGAUGUCUCCUUGUCCUUCAUCUGCGAUAACACAAGCAAAGGCCUGGUGAUUGGCAAUCAGAACAUGAACUGGAGAGCCGCUCAGAGUUACUGCAGACAAAAUUACAAUGAUCUGGUCAGUGUGAGGAACCAGAAUGAGAGUCAACAGCUGGAGAAGUUCAUUGAAGACAGAGGUUUAUCUGGAGCUCCAGUCUGGAUCGGUCUGUUCAGACAAAUGUGGCAGUGGUCAGAUCAGAGCAACUCCUUAUUCAGAUACUGGAAACCUGGUGAACCAAAUAAUGUUGGAGGAAAUGAAAACUGUACAGCAUUUGAACCGAACACUCAGGGAAGAUGGAUAGACAUCUCUUGUGAUCGUCAGUAUCCUUUUGUGUGUCAUGAAGAUAAACUGAUUGUGGUCCAGCAGAAUCUGUCGUGGUCUGCAGCUCUGAGAUACUGCAGACAGCAUCAUGUGGAUCUGGUCUCGGUUCAGUCAGUGGAGAUGCAGCGUCGUGUGAUGAACGUGGUUAAACUGGCGUCUACUGAGGCGGUGUGGUUGGGUUUACGUCACUCCUGUGCUUUGGGCAUCUGGUUCUGGGUGAGUGGACAGACCGUGUGCUAUCAGAACUGGGCUCGAGGAAUCGGAACAUCAGAAGAGGUUUGUGAGCCCACAGUGAGAUCUGGAGCAGUUCAGUCUGGACAAGGUCAGUUCUGGAUCAGCCGUCCUGAAACUGACCAACUUAACUUCAUCUGCACUAAUUACUAGGAUUGAAAGACCUUAGGAUGUUUCUGUUUAAAAGUAUGAAUGUUACAGUUUUACUGCUUCAAAUACAUAUUUUAAGACAUCUGAAUUAGACUUUUAUUGAUACACGUAACAGGGCGAUGUGAGGGUGCAGUGGGUAGCACUCUCGCCUCACAGCAAGAAGGUUGGUGGU